rnacentral:rRNA from 1 species
AUGUUCUCAUCUUACUUGGGUUCGCGCCGAUCCAUCCCCACUCGCUCACUUCUCCACCUCGCCAGGCCGCCGACAAGGCACCUACGCCUACUCAUCCCCCACCCCACCACCCUAGAGCAGCGCGGUGUACCACAAAUACACUCUCAGCGAGGAGGCGAUGGGUCGUGGGGCCUGAGCCCUGCGGCGGUGACGGCGCUGGUGGCGCUGCUCGGGCUUGGCGUCGCGGCAUACAUCGUUCUUGGUCUAAAAGACUACUGCUCUAACUGUGCCAAACAGUUCGUAGAGGUCAAGAGUGGUGCUUCCAGUGAAGAAACAGAGUUACUGAUGGACGAGCUAAAGCAGAGAGAGGAAAAAGCAACAGAAGCUCGGCAAUAA